rnacentral:tRNA from 1 species
GCGUCUUUCGUAUAAUGGUAUUACUCUAGCCUUCCAAGCUAAUAACGAGGGUUCGAUUCCCUUAAGACGCU